CAGUCGCCGCGGGAAAACGUAGGUGGCAAGCGUUGUCCGGAAUUAUUGGGCGUAAAGGGCUCGCAGGCGGUUUCUUAAGUCUGAUGUGAAAGCCCCCGGCUCAACCGGGGAGGGUCAUUGGAAACUGGGAAACUUGAGUGCAGAAGAGGAGAGUGGAAUUCCACGUGCAGCGGUGAAAUGCGUUGAGAUUGGAAAGAACACCAACGGUGAAAGCACUCUGCUGGGCCGACACUGACACUGAGAGACGAAAGCUAGGGGAGCAAAUGUGAUUAGAUACCCGCGUAGUCCCUGUCUCUUAUAC
rnacentral:rRNA from 1 species